AAACAAAAGGGAGCCUUCACAAAGGUUGCUUAGGGGAAGUCUCAGCAGUCAAUAGAGCCCCAGAAAGAGAAAGCACCGGAGGGUGGUUAUCCGGAGCCUCAGUACUGGACAGAACCCCAGAAGGAUGAGGCAUUGGAGGUUGAUCAUUUGGAGCUUCAUUAUGCAGUACAGCCCCAGAAGACGAAGGCAAUAAAUGCCUUUGGAACAAACCCACAAACCGCUGAUGAUCAAGUAAAACCUGACCAUCAGAUUCCUUCAUUUGGUCAAGCUUCCU
rnacentral:lncRNA from 1 species